rnacentral:lncRNA from 1 species
GUCCCUAGAAAAUUUCAUAACCUGUGAAGUCUUAGGGAUCAUAAAAAGAUCUUUGGAAGAUUCCAAGGAUGUAGCUUGGUGGUAGAGUGUUGGCAUGGUUGCGGGAACCUGUGCUUGGGGGAAGCUGGGGCUAUCAGCUGGCACAGUAGGAUGCCCCCGUGUCCUCCCCAGCCAAACAGAAACAGAUUACCACAGCUGCCUACUGGGGAGCUUGGAGAGAUGGAACUGACUUGGCAAGAGAUCAUGUCCAUUACUGAGCUGCAGGGUCUAAAUGUUCCAAGUGAGCCAUCUUUUGAGCCUCAAGCACCCACCCCAUACCCUGGGCCACUGCCACCUCCAACAUACUGCCCCUGUUCAAUUCAUCCAGAUGCAGGCUUCACCCUUCCUCCACCACCUUAUGAGCUCCCAGCAUCCACUCCCCAUGCUCCAGACCUCCCAUACUCCUAUGGCAACAUAGCCAUACCCGUGUCAAAGCCACUUACCCUUUCAGGCCUGCUCAAUGAGCCCCUCCCAGACCCCUUAGCUCUCUUGGACAUUGGGCUGCCAGUGGGGCAACCCAAGCCCCAAGAAGAUCCAGAAUCUGACUCGGGAUUAUCCCUCAACUACAGCGAUGCAGAAUCUCUUGAGCUAGAAGGUACAGAGGCUGGCAGGCGGAGGAGCGAGUAUGUGGACAUGUACCCGGUGGAGUACCCUUACUCACUUAUGC